GAAAUGCGAUAAGUAAUGUGAAUUGCAGAAUUCAGUGAAUCAUCGAAUCUUUGAACGCACCUUGCACUCCUUGGUAUUCCGAGGAGUAUGCCUGUUUGAGUCUCAUGGUAUUCUCAACCCCUAAAUUUUUGUAAUGAAGGUUUAGCGGGCUUGGACUUGGAGGUUGUGUCGGCCCUUGUCGGUCGACUCCUCUGAAAUGCAUUAGCGUGAAUCUUACGGAUCGCCUUCAGUGUGAUAAUUAUCUGCGCUGUGGUGUUGAAGUAUUUAUGGUGUUCAUGCUUCGAACCGUCUCCUUGCCGAGACAAUCAUUUGACAAUCUGAGCUCAAAUCAGGUAGGACUACCCGCUGAACUUAA
rnacentral:misc_RNA from 2 species